UCGUAAUUUUCUAGUGCUUAAAUAGGAUUAAAAAUUCAUAAAAUAUUCGUGGUAGCUUAGAAAAUUACGAUUCUUUUUGCAAUAGCUUAGUAAUAUUUCUAAGGACCGCGGGGCAGAGUUUUAUAAUUUUUAGAGCUUAUUUGAGCAGUUUUUGCAAAAAUGAUCAAUUAUAAGGACUAAAUUGAAAUUUUACAUAUUGUGAUGGAUGAUUGAUUUGAUGGACCCAGGAGGGGCUGUGUGAUGUGAUUGAGUUGUGGAUAUAUGGAUUGUGGAUAUAGAAGUGUGUUUUGAGCCAUUUUACAGGUUGGGUAGGUCCUAGGUAUAAGGGAGACUCUGCCGGAUUUUCGGCACGACUUAGGACGUAUUGGUCUUUUUCUUUGUUUGUAUUGAGUCAAAUUUAUUAAAUGAUUGUAAUAAAAUUGUCAGGUGAGCCGGGACAGCCUUCUUCCUCCGCCCAGCCGCCUCAGUGACCAUCGUCAAGUCUGCUACAGGAGGAGACAUUUUUCAGAAUAACCUGUCCCUUUCCUCUCAGGUUAUGAAAAGAUUACUUAAUUGUAUUAUUAUUCUCUAAAUUUGUAAUUUAGGACUCCGCAUGUGCUAGUAGUAGCAUUAAGCCUAUCAGAGACUGUAUGAAUUCAAGUUUUCAUAUUAAUAAAUGAAAAGAAAAAAAAAUUUUAUGAGUUUUAAA